rnacentral:rRNA from 1 species
AUUGAACGCUGGCGGCAGGCCUAACACAUGCAAGUCGAGCGGAUGAAGGGAGCUUGCUCCUGGAUUCAGCGGCGGACGGGUGAGUAAUGCCUAGGAAUCUGCCUGGUAGUGUGGGAUAACGUCCGGAAGCGGGCGCUAAUACCGCAUACGUCCUGAGGGAGAAAGUGGGGGAUCUUCGGACCUCACGCUAUCAGAUGAGCCUAGGUCGGAUUAGCUAGUUGGUGGGGUAAAGGCCUACCAAGGCGACGAUCCGUAACUGGUCUGAGAGGAUGAUCAGUCACACUGGAACUGAGACACGGUCCAGACUCCUACGGGAGGCAGCAGUGGGGAAUAUUGGACAAUGGGCGAAAGCCUGAUCCAGCCAUGCCGCGUGUGUGAAGAAGGUCUUCGGAUUGUAAAGCACUUUAAGUUGGGAGGAAGGGAAGUAAGUUAAUACCUUGCUGUUUUGACGUUACCAACAGAAUAAGCACCGGCUAACUUCGU